CACCCCCUCUCUCUCCCUCUCUAUCCCUUCCCCCUUUUCGAGAAGAUAGAUAGAUAGAGAGAGUUAUUAUGGAGGAGAGGAGAUUUAUUUGAUAAUAACACAACACGCCCCGCAGGAGAAGGGGUCUCUCUCUCUAUCUCUGUGUAUGUAUAUGAUGGGCUUCCUUCACUCACCACCAGAGAGAGGGAGCGCACAGAGCCCCCCACCGCAGUCUGAGAGACAUUUUCCGCCCCCACUCUCUUCUCUGUCACCGACACCUGUACGUUUUGCAUGGAAGAGAGAGAAACCCACAAAAAGAAUUUUUUUUAAAAAAAAAAAAGAAGAAGAAGAGAAGAAGGGCUUUUUUCUUUCUUUUAUCAUCUUUAUUAUUGGAUACCCUUUUUCACCUUUAUUAAUGUCCGGGUGGGAUGAAUGGCUUCGCUUGGUGGAUUCUUGGUCUUCUCUUCUCUUCUUGUUGUUGUUUCGGUUCUUGAUGGGCAGAGAAAACCCUAGAGGUCGAUUCUUUCUUUGGAUUCAAUGGCGGGGAGGGAGGGGAAGACUUAUGGCAACUUUCCUUAAAUGGGUUAUUCUUCUCUCAUGGAUCUGACCGCUUCUCGGGUUGGGGUAGUACCUUUCCCUUUUGGUCCUCCCUCCCCCCAUUGAUGAUGUUUUCACAUUUUCGUGUGUGUGGUCUGCCCUCCUUUCCUUUUAAGGUAAUGUGUUCAAUGUUCAUAUUCCCCCCACAUAGAUUGCAUUUCGGAUUUGUGGGCAUGGAGAAAUUGACAGAAGAGAGUGAGCACGCAGAGGGACCAAUUGUAUAGAUGUGCUAUACCUUUGCUUUUGCGUGCUCACUGCUCUUCCUGUCAGAUUCCCCCUUCCCCCCAUUCCGACAAGGAAUCCUGAUCAGUUCCCAGCCGGGACUCGGUGCAUGUAUUGUUGCCGGUAUGGUCUUCGAUCCGUGGCCUCCUUAACGGGUGAUCGUGGCCUCCUUUCAUGAUCUAAAGAGAGGAGCUUCAGUGGGGCGUGACUUUUGAUGAACAUAUAUAUGUGUGUGUGUGUGUGUGUGUGUGUGUUGGAUGAUGAUUCCUAAUCUUGUGUUUAUUGUAUGGGACCACGUUAUCAUAUAAUCCAUUUAGUCUUUGAUCCUGUAUAUAAUAUAAAUCUGUAUUUAUCUAGAUUGUAGCUAGCAUGGUCCUUGGUCAUAAAUCCUUCCCCAUUCUUCUACUUUUUGGUUUCUUUCGACACGAAUCUGGCUAAUGCAUGGUGUUAUGUUUGCAGUUCGACAGGUAAUGUACUAUAUUUUAUGUGACCAUUUAAGCAUAAGGGUACCAAUUAUUAGGUUUAUCCAGCUAUUAUGAGUUAAUCGGGGAUUAAUUUAUCCUUAGAUUGCGAUUAUGCUCACGUCUUUUAGCCAAGACAAGACCAGAUCAUAUCGCACUUCCGAUCCAGAGAAAUUUCAUGUGCUCUUUCCCUGAAAGAGAUAUUCAAGGUUUCAUGUAUCAAAAGACGCUACGGAGAACACAUCUUGUAAGGUAAUUUUGACUGUAUCAGCUGCCACAAUUGCAUCAAACAGAAAAGAGAUGUAUUUUUGAAAAGUAACUGUAAUCAGAGACGGUCAUCUUAUCUAUAUAAAUAGAACAUAAUCUCAAAACCUGAUAUUCAUAAAUAACAUUUACAGAAAUGUGAACUUUGCCUAUAAUGAUUUCAAUUUCUGAUCAGGAGCAGAAGUAGAUAUGCUGGAUUACUGUUUCCUUUGGUUCACGCAAAGCGCCUACAUCCAAAUGUACCAUUUGUAUGGCAGAUUUGAGGAAUUUUUGUCCCUUUGUACUGUCAAUUGUCCUUUCAAGGUCCUUUUUGGGGUGCAGAUAGGUCUGAUUCUGGCUGUGGAUUCUUCUCAACUUUUGGAAGGAAGCUGCUGUCUCAGAAAUUUAGAAGAAGACAUCUUGUCAACACAGGAAUGGGAAUCUCUCAAGUAAUCAGGUGUUCAGGAGCAGAAGACAUCUGUGGGGCAUAAUGCUAUUUGUCAAGUAUCGGGCAAUCGUUUAUGCUGAACAUAGAUGCUCAUUUUCGAUGUCUAAAUCAGGCCUUAUUAGUUACUAGGAUGGCGAUACUAUGAUUGCGACUUGCGGCUUCCACCAUAGUUCGAGCCAACACUGGAAGUUUAAGGGAGGUUUAUGCAAUUGAACUGAGUGCCGGAACACAUAAACGUUAAUUCUAGGCUUCUGCACUCAUAUACAGCCGGAGGGGUGUUUGCUCUACAGUACGAUGCCAGAGUUGGAUCCGUUUCCUUUGACUUCUCUCAGAUUUCGGUUGAGACUGGACAUGUUGGACUUGAAUCCUGAUUAUUACUAAAUCAGCUGGCUUUCUUUGCUAGAACCUUUCCUGUUGAUUUGUUUUAAAGUAGGCUCUUAUUCUUUUCCCAUCGUUUACAGUGUUCAUCGUGGACAUUUCCCACAGUCCAGGUUUUAAAGUAGACUAAUGUUCCGGGGGUUGCUUGUGGCUAUGAACACCUUGUCCUCCGAGGGGCUGUGCUGGAGAAGGACUGGCAGGCUGGAGCAGCCAGAUACCUCGCUUGCCUAUCAAAUAGAGGCAGCGCGACAUCAGCUUAGAUCGCAUCUAGACAAAUAGAAGCAGCGUGAUGAGCAAUGCAACACGAAUCAUACAGCAUUGUUUUCUCAA